UACGUAGGGUGCGAGCGUUGUCCGGAAUUAUUGGGCGUAAAGAGCUCGUAGGCGGUCUGUUGCGUCCGCUGUGAAAACUCGGGGCUUAACCCCGAGCCUGCAGUGGAUACGGGCAGACUAGAGGUAGGUAGGGGAGAAUGGAAUUCCCGGUGUAGCGGUGAAAUGCGCAGAUAUCGGGGGGAACACCGGUGGCGAAGGCGGUUCUCUGGGCCUUACCUGACGCUGAGGAGCGAAAGCGUGGGGAGCGAACAGG
rnacentral:rRNA from 1 species